rnacentral:rRNA from 1 species
UCUACGGGAGGCAGCAGUAGGGAAUCUUCCGCAAUGGACGAAAGUCUGACGGAGCAACGCCGCGUGAGUGAUGAAGGUCUUCGGAUCGUAAAGCUCUGUUGUUAGGGAAGAACAAAUGUGUAAGUAACUGUGCACGUCUUGACGGUACCUAAUCAGAAAGCCACGGCUAACUACGUGCCAGCAGCCGCGGUAAUA